rnacentral:rRNA from 1 species
GACGAACGCUGGCGGCGUGCUUAACACAUGCAAGUCGAACGGCAAGGCCCUGCUUUUGUGGGGUGCUCGAGUGGCGAACGGGUGAGUAACACGUGAGUAACCUGCCCUUGACUUUGGGAUAACUUCAGGAAACUGGGGCUAAUCCCGGAUCGGAGCUCCUGCUGCAUGGUGGGGGUUGGAAAGUUUCGGCGGUUGGGGAUGGACGCGCGGCUUAUCAGCUUGUUGGUGGGGUAGUGGCUUACCAAGGCUUUGACGGGUAGCCGGCCUGAGAGGGUGACCGGCCACAUUGGGACUGAGAUACGGCCCAGACUCCUACGGGAGGCAGCAGUGGGGAAUAUGGCACAAUGGGCGGAAGCCUGAUGCAGCAACGCCGCGUGCGGGAUGACGGCCUUCGGGUUGUAAACCGCUUUCGCCUGUGACGAAGCGUGAGUGACGGUAAUGGGUAAAGAAGCACCGGCUAACUACGUG